UCCCAGGUGGCUCAAUGGUAAAGAAUCUGCCUGCCAAUGCAGGAGACACAGGAGACACAGGUUCAAUCCCUGGGUUGGGAA
rnacentral:tRNA from 1 species